rnacentral:lncRNA from 10 species
CACUCCAGUGUAGUAGUCAAUCAAAAAGAAUUAAGUGAAGAUGAAAUCAGGACACUGAAACAAAAUUAAAACAAAAAAUAUUGAUAAAACUUCUGAACAGGAACAAAAACAUAAAGAAACACACGACAGCAAGACUCAGAAGCUCAAUGUAGUAAAAGAGAGUGAGGAACAAGGUGAAAACAUUUUACUUUUAAUCCCUGAAGAGAAGAAAAACAAAUAAUACCAAAAAUCUUUAUUUAAAUGUUUAUUCUUUUGAGAAAACAAAACCUACCUCUGGAUGCACAUGAGUUUGAUUAAAUCUGGGAAUAUCUCUUUACUCCUGAUAUCUUUCAAACACCGCUAAGGUACCAGAUAAAUUCUGGUGACAAGGUCCUGAGAAAACCCUUUGAGGCAACAGCGUCUUUCCAGCUGUUCUGUUGGAAAACAGCAGGAACAGCUGCUAGAGAUCUGUGAGAGCUGCUUUUGGGAAGAAAGCCCCAGGAAGUGAGGGAUCAUACUUCUUUUCUGUGAUCACUGAUGCUGUGGUGGACAUAGCAGAGAAAGAACACCAGCCCGGAGUGGAGAGGUUUAUUGAUGAGUCUCUUACCCGACAGAGAAAUAUGUGAGUGUCUUCCUUGUGAAGCUGAAGCAGACAUUUUGGUUGUGUGAUCUCACACUACAAAAAUCGGGAAGUGGGGCUAAAUGUGGAGUGCUGUUGUGGCCAGAUGUACAAUAUGGCCAAUAGAUUUUCUUCAAAAAUGGAGGUUGCUGCUUCAAGAUUUUUAACUGAAAUAUCCCCAAACUAUCUACACAUUCUGCUCUUCCUGUGCCUUAAAUAUGUGGUUGGCAGGCCAGGCAUGGUGGCUUACGCUUGUAAUCCCACACUUUGGGGGACCGAGGCGGGAGGAUCACUUAAGGUCAGAAGUUCGAGACCAACCUGGUGAACAUGGUGAAACCCCGCUGGGCGUGAAAAUAUAAAAAUUAGCUGGGUGUGUGGCAAUCGCCUGUAAUCCCAGCUACUGGGGAGGCUGAGACAGGAGAACCACUUGAACUCGGGAGGCGGAGGUUGCCAUAAGCCAAGAUUGUGCCACUGCACUCUAGCCUGGGCAACAGAUCGAGACUGUCUCAACAAAUAAAAAAUUAAAAUUAAAAAAUUAAAAAUUAAAUAUGUGGUUGGCAAAAUCAGUGCCUAUUAUGGGGAUAUCUGUUGUAUUAUGAAGGACUGAGGAAGUUUGUUCUUUUAUUCAUUCUUCACCACAACUACUUUUAGGACUUGACUAUGUAAUUUCUGUCCUUUCUCAGAACAACAAAGAAAGGAAUAAUGAACUGAAGGCAAUUUUUCAUUCUCAAUGGACAGAUAGACAUGAUGCUUUUGAAAUUUUACUGGAUCUCCUGCCAGCAUUUGUUUUAUGUUUAGAGAUAUAAAUAUAUAAAUAGUGAGACAAGUCUCAGAUGACAUAACUGUGUAGCUGGCUGAGCAUUUGUAUUCUGCAGUGCAUUAAUGUAUUUUAAUUUCUUUCUUUUUUUUUUUUAAUUAAUAGAGACAGAGUCUCACUAUGAUUGGCCAGGCUGCUCUCAAACCCCUGGGCUCAAGUGAUCCUCCCACAUUGGCCUCGCAAAGUGCUAGGACUACAGGUGAGCGCCAUCACUCCCGGCCUUGAUUUCAUUUUUAUAAAUGUUCUUAAAAAUGUCUUAUCUUACAAGAGGCUUUGGGAAAAAAAUCUCUAGGGGAAAAUCUCUGAUGUUUUCUUUGCAGCCAGCAGCUUCAUGGUGGUAUCGUAUCACUAAUGAAGUAUUGGAAAAUAUUAAAACUUAUCAUGAAUUUGGGGAAGGCAUGAAUUUGAUAACCAAUCUUGAUAUUCAAAUAAAAGUCUCUGGGAAAUUCUGCAGAGCUCAGCAAGGUAACCUAGAAUCUCAACUAACCUCUGAGAGUUACUAUAAGGAAUCUCUGUGUGUUCCAACAGUGCAGCGCAUUACUCUGGAACUUGAAGAUUUAUUCUCAGAACAGGGUCUCAUAGCUCGCAAAUGCUGAUCUCUGGCACCUUCUGUCAUGGGACAGCUCAAAUUUGACACAUCGGAGAAACACUAAGCUGACUUUUACUGAAGUGACUGAGCCAAUCUGAACAUGCUCUCAGCCAAUUUCAUUGUUGGAGAAUCAAGUAGAAACACAGACAGAAAGAGGCAGAGCUUCUAUUGGCAUUUUUGAAGCCCUCUGUCUGCCUGACAUCAGUAAAACUCCCUAAUGUGUACACAUUGUUGAAAGUCCUGUGUAUUCUUCCUAUAAUGAAGAUUGAGAAUGAGCACUAUGAAAAUAAAUGAAAGCAUCUCAAAUUAUAGCUGAGGAAAACUUUGACAGACCAAAGGUUAAAUAACUUGGUUUUACUUAACAUAAAUUUUGAUAUAAAACAUGAUCUGGAUUUAACUGUAGGUGCACAUAUCAAACUAUA